rnacentral:rRNA from 1 species
ACCCGCUGACCUAAGCA